rnacentral:misc_RNA from 1 species
AACGGUCUAUACCUGCGGUACCUGCGGAGGGAUCAUUAACAAAUCCAUUGGCGCAGCAUCCAAAUGCUAUCAUGCAUGAGGAUGUUUGUGACAUUUGUUCCAUGUGCAUUGUUCACUCUGCACAUUGUUCACAUUUCUACGAAUCAUCUGAUUGUUUACAAAAUUACAAAAUAUCAACUUUCAACAACGGAUCUCU